GCUUUAUAGGGUCUUGGUUGGCGAAAAGUGCAAGGAAAUCGCGGCUUUCAUGGGAUCGAGUUCGGCACGACUUGUCUCCUACUCGAACACGACUGGAGGUAGGGGAAAGAGAUGCGGCUGACGGGUGGGGCCAGCGUGGCAGUGAGAUAGGAGGGGAGGGAGGAAGUGCAGAUGGGUGGGGCCCAAAGGCAGGGAAAGAAAGAGGGGAGGAAUGCGGGCGCUUGGGCCGAAACGGCUGGGCCGUGUUCAUGACGCGGGAGUUGGAGAGACUAGGCGCGGGGCUGGCUGGGCCUCGGCCUGGUUUUCCUAGGGGCUUCUCCCCUUUAUUAUUUUUUCUUCUUUUCUUUUUUCUGAUUUCUAUUCCAAAACAUUUUCCAAAUAGAAUUUUGAACACAAUUAACUUCAAACCAAAGUCUCUCAGCACA
rnacentral:lncRNA from 1 species